GGAUGAGGUAGUACCUCCACAGGUAGUGGGGUGGCGAGGCAGAGUAGCCACGACACUGGCAGUAGCCAGGGUACAGGUAGUGGGGACACUUGUGGGACACACUCUCAUAGUUUUGUUCGUCGAUCUUGUUGUAGCACACGAAUAUUUUCUGAGAAGCUGUCAUGGACAAUUAUAAAAUCAAUGGUGGUUUCUGAGAGGCAGUAGUGUGUGUGGAAGGUGACGCAAUGGCUCAGGUGAGAGGCAGCACUGUGUCUUGAAGGUGACGCUAUGGUUCAGGUGAGAGGCAGUGAAGAGUGACGUUAUGGCUCUGGUGAGAGGUAGUAAAGUGUCUUGAAGGUGACGCUAGGACUCAGUGAGAGGCAGUAAAGUGUCUUGAAGGUGACGCUAGGACUCAGCAGAGAGGCAGUGCUGUGUCCUGAAAGACUCCUGCGAUAUCUCGGGGUAACCUUGAGCGAUACAGGUGAUAAAGCAUACCUUUACUGAGGCAGUCGUCUAGUGUGCGUGUGUGUACACGCGUCCAGAUGCAAGUCAACACAGGGCGGCGGCGGCGGCGGCGGCCGGCGGCGAUAAUAAGUGACCUAUACUAAGUCAGCCAAAGAUUCAAACACUGAUUUGAUACAUCGCAUCUGAUACUCUACUCUAAAAGGGAUUUGAUAACUUAACCUGUAACACAGGCGAACAAGCAGUCCAGACGUGUGGUAUCAUGUGUGUUGUUCUGCUUCCCAAUGUAUAUUUGUUUUUCGUAUGUUUUAUAUUCAAAUUAAGUUCAAACACGCAUCAGACAAGGAAGGCGAGGUGAAGAAAAUACUCAAAUGGUUCCGAGAAGCAACCCGAGUUGAAGCAGGUUGAUUCUAUUCUUGGAGGUUGUGGGUCCCCAGCAGUUAAUUCUGGAGGCUGUACCUCUCUGUGUACUCUGAUGCCGAGUAUGCAGGUUCGAAUCCUGCUGUGGAAUUGUGAGAUAAUGUAAGUUAUAUAAAAAUAUACAACCACAGAAUCGAAUGAUAGCUCUAGGCCUUUCGUUUUCCAAUCAACACAUGAAGAACUUGCAAUGUUGCAGAAAUGAGCAGUAUGCCCCGACGGUAUCGUCCAGGGGAACGAUAUAUAUGCGUAUAAAUGCAACAUUGCAUUUAUACGCGAAUCGUCAAAUUGAAAUUUGUCGCGGCGGUAUUCAGCAAAAUUAAUAAAGUUUAAUGAGAGUAAA